GUGCUCGCUUCGGCAGCGCAUAUACUAUAACUGGAAUUAUACAGAGAAGAUUAGCAUGGCCCCUGCACAAGGAUGACACGCAAAUUCAUGAAAUGUUCCAUAUUUUU
ensembl:snRNA U6 U6 spliceosomal RNA